CCUGAACGCUGGCGGCGUGGUUAAGACAUGCAAGUCGCACGGUGCCGUAGCAAUACGGCACAGUGGCGAACGGGUGAGUAAUGAAUCGCUAAAUGUACCCCGGACACCGGAUAGCCGCCCGAAAGGGCGGGGUAAUACCGGAUGACAUGGCCGCACGGCAUCGUGCGGCCCUCAAGGGUCCGCCGGUCUGGGAGCAGGCGAUUUCGUAUCAGCUAGUUGGUGCGGGUAACGGCCCACCAAGGCGACGACGCGUAGCCGGACUGAGAGGUUGGCCGGCCACAUCGGGACUGAGACACUGCCCGGACUCCUACGGGGGGCUNCAGUAACGAAUCUUCCCCAAUGCACGAAAGUGUGAGGGAGCGACGCCGCGUGUGGGAC
rnacentral:rRNA from 1 species